rnacentral:misc_RNA from 1 species
AAAGUCGUAACAAGGUUUCCGUAGGUGAACCUGCGGAAGGAUCAUUAUGAAUUUGAACUUGUGCAGCUGUUCGACCUUGUGUUGAACGCUCGCAAUUCUUUUUCUGUGAACUGUUCUCAGACUUUUUAUCAAUUCAUUUUGAUAAAAGGCUUGGGUUACUUUUUUGUUUUCUUGUAUUAUUCCACUUUAUAUUUCGAGUAAUUCUUGCAAAAGAAUGAAACAAAUACAAAAAAAAACCAAGACAACUUUCAGCAAUGGAUCUCUUGGCUCUU